CUAGGUGUAGCUCAGCUUGGUAGAGCACUACGUUCGGGUCGUAGGGGUCGCAGGUUCAAAUCCUGUCACCUAGACCA
rnacentral:tRNA from 1 species